rnacentral:rRNA from 1 species
AGUGAACGCUGGCGGUAGGCCUAACACAUGCAAGUCGAACGGCAGCACAGUAAGAGCUUGCUCUUACGGGUGGCGAGUGGCGGACGGGUGAGGAAUACAUCGGAGUCUACUUUUUCGUGGGGGAUAACGUAGGGAAACUUACGCUAAUACCGCAUACGACCUACGGGUGAAAGCAGGGGAUCUUCUGACCUUGCGCGAUUGAAUGAGCCGAUGUCGGAUUAGCUAGUUGGCGGGGUAAAGGCCCACCAAGGCGACGAUCCGUAGCUGGUCUGAGAGGAUGAUAGCCCACACUGGAACGGAGACACGGUCCAGACUCCUACGGGAGGCAGCAGUGGGGAAUAUUGGACAAUGGGCGCAAGCCUGAUCCAGCCAUACCGCGUGGGUGAAGAAGGCCUUCGGGUUGUAAAGCCCUUUUGUUGGGAAAGAAAAGCAGCAGGUUAAUACCACGCUGUUCUGACGGUACCCAAAGAAUAAGCACCGGCUAACUUCGUG